UUCGUUCAUCUAUCUAGACGGAAGUAAGUCUUUAAUUUAAGACUGAAGGAACGCAUU
rnacentral:ncRNA from 10 species